rnacentral:rRNA from 1 species
UACGUAGGGGGCUAGCGUUGUCCGGAAUCAUUGGGCGUAAAGCGCGUGUAGGCGGCCCGGUAAGUCCGCUGUGAAAGUCAGGGGCUCAACCCUUGAAAGCCGGCCGAUACUGUCGGACUAGAGUCCGGAAGAGGCAAGUGGAAUUCCCGGUGUAGCGGUGAAAUGCGCAGAUAUCGGGAGGAACACCAAUGGCGAAGGCAGCACUCUGGGACGUGACUGACGCUGAGACGCGAAAGCGUGGGGAGCAAACAGG